rnacentral:rRNA from 1 species
UACGGGGGGGGCAAGCGUUGUUCGGAAUUACUGGGCGUAAAGGGCGCGUAGGCGGCCUGCUAAGUCGGAUGUGAAAUCCCUCGGCUCAACCGAGGAACUGCAUCCGAUACUGGCGGGCUUGAAUCCGGGAGAGGGAUGUGGAAUUCCAGGUGUAGCGGUGAAAUGCGUAGAUAUCUGGAGGAACACCGGUGGCGAAGGCGGCAUCCUGGACCGGUAUUGACGCUGAGGAGCGAAAAGCGUGGGGAGCGAACAGG